rnacentral:rRNA from 1 species
UCCUUCGGGAAGUANNCGAGCGGCGAACGGGUGAGUAACACGUGGAUAAUCAACCUCUUGCUCUGGAAUACCCCGGGGAAACUCGGAUCAAUGCCAGAUAAAGUGCGGUGCUGUCGGGCGCCGUACCAAAGAUAGCUUCGGCCUUCGGCGAGAGACGAGUCCGCGGCCCAUUAGCUAGUUGGCGGGGUAAAGGCCCACCAAGGCUACGAUGGGUAGCUGGUCUGAGAGGAUGAUCAGCCACACUGGGACUGAGACACGGCCCAGACUCCUACGGGAGGCAGCAGUGGGGAAUCUUGCGCAAUGGGCGAAAGCCUGACGCAGCAACGCCGCGCGCGGGAGGAAGGCCUUCGGGUUGUAAACCGCUUUCAGGGGAGACGAAGCUUCCAGGGUUAAUAGCCCUGUGGAGUGACGGUAUCUUCAGAAGAAGUCCCGGCUAACUACGUGCCAGCAGCCGCGGUGAUACGUAGGGGACAAGCGUUGUCCGGAAUUAUUGGGCGUAAAGCGCGUGUAGGCGGCCAAGUAAGUCUUACGUGAAAUCCUGAGGCUCAACCUCAGGCCUGCGCGGGAAUACU